rnacentral:rRNA from 1 species
UACAUAGGGUGCAAGCGUUGUCCGGAAUUAUUGGGCGUAAAGAGCUCGUAGGUGGUUCGAUACGUCGGAUGUGAAAAUCAGGGGCUCAACCCCUGACCUGCAUCCGAUACGGUCGAGCUGGAGUUUGGUAGGGGAGACUGGAAUUCCUGGUGUAGCGGUGGAAUGCGCAGAUAUCAGGAGGAACACCGAUGGCGAAGGCAGGUUUCUGGGCCAAUACUGACACUGAGGAGCGAAAGCGUGGGGAGCGAACAGG